AGCGAACGCUGGCGGCAGGCCUAACACAUGCAAGUCGAACGAACCUUUCGGGGUUAGUGGCGGACGGGUGAGUAACACGUGGGAACGUGCCCUUAGGUUCGGAAUAACUCAGGGAAACUUGUGCUAAUACCGAACGUGCCCUUCGGGGGAAAGAUUAAUCGCCUUUAGAGCGGCCCGCGUCUGAUUAGCUAGUUGGUUGAGGUAAUGGCUCACCAAGGCGACGUUCAGUAGCUGGUCUGAGAGGAUGAUCAGCCACAUUGGGAGUGAGACACGGCCCAAACUCCUACGGGAGGCGGCAGUGGGGGAUCUUGCGCAAUGGGCGAAGGGCUGACGCAGCCAUGCCGCGUGAAUGAUGAAGGUCGUAGGAUUGUAAAAUUCUUUCACCGGGGACGAUAAUGACGGUACCCGGAGAAGAAGCCCCGGCUAACUUCGUG
rnacentral:rRNA from 1 species